AGUUAAUAAGCUUUAAUAGCAACUGUUUUGAAAACAUUAGAUAGAAACCUGAAUUUUCUAUUAACUU
rnacentral:tRNA from 1 species